UACGUAGGGGGCGAGCGUUGUCCGGAAUCAUUGGGCGUAAAGCGCGUGUAGGCGGCCCGGUAAGUCCGCUGUGAAAGUCCAGGGCUCAACCCUGGGAUGCCGGUGGAUACUGUCGGGCUCGAGUCCGGAAGAGGCGAGUGGAAUUCCUGGUGUAGCGGUGAAAUGCGCAGAUAUCAGGAGGAACACCGGUGGCGAAGGCGGGUCUCUGGGCCGUAACUGGCGCUGAGGAGCGAAAGCAUGGGGAGCGAACAGG
rnacentral:rRNA from 1 species